UACGGAGGGUGCAAGCGUUAUCCGGAUCAUUGGGCGUAAAGGGUGCGUAGGCGGUCGCGCAAGUCGGAUGUGAAAUCUCAGGGCUCAACCCUGAAACUGCAUUCGAUACUGCCGUGCUUGAGGACUGGAGAGGAGACUGGAAUUUACGGUGUAGCGGUGAAAUGCGUAGAUAUCGUAAGGAAGACCAGUGGCGAAGGCGGGUCUCUGGACAGUUCCUGACGCUGAGGCACGAAGGCCAGGGGAGCAAACAGG
rnacentral:rRNA from 1 species